ACAGGUACCCGUCCUGGAUCCCGAUCAGCUACAGGUGAGACAGGUGAGAGACAGGUACGGACAGGUGAGACACAGGUGAGACACAGGUAUGGACAGGUAACACACACAGGUACCCGUCCUGGAUCCCGAUCAGCUACAGGUGAGACAGGUGAGAGACAGGUAUGGACAGGUGAGACAGGUGAGACACAGGUGAGACACAGGUAACACACACAGGUACCCGUCCUGGAUCCCGAUCAGCUACAGGUGAGACACAGGUGAGACACAGGUGAGACAGGUGAGACAGGUAUGGACAGGUGAGACCUUCACAGGUACCCUACACACACACAGGUACCCGUCCUGGAUCCCAAUCAGCUACAGGUGAGACACAGGUGAGACAGGUGAGACAGGUACGGACAGGUGAGACACAGGUAUGGACAGGUAACACACACAGGUACCCGUCCUGGAUCCCAAUGAGCUGCACAGGUAUGGACAGGUGAGACAGAUGAGGCACAGGUGAGGUACAGGUAUGGACAGGUAACCCAUCAGUGACAGGUACCCGUCCUGGACCUCGAUCAGCUGCAGGUGUCACCAGGUGUGUCACUGUGCCCAGCUGUGUUACAGGUGUGUUACCUGUGCAGGUGUGCACAGGUGUGUUACCUGUGCAGGUGUGCACAGGUGUGUUACCCAUCCCAGGUGUGCACAGGUGUGUUACCUGUCCCAGGUGUGUCUCAGGUGUGUUACCUGUCCCAGGUGUAGCACAGGUGUGUUACCUGUCCCAGGUGUGUCUCGGGUGUUACCCCAGGUGUGCACAGGUGUGUUACCUGUCCCAGGUGUAUCACAGGUGUGUUACCUGUCCCAGGUGUCGCACAGGUGUGUUACCUGUCCCAGGUGUGUCUCGGGUGUUACCCCAGGUGUGCACAGGUGUGUUACCUGUCCCAGGUGUGUCCCAGGCGUGCACAGGUGUGUCCCAGGUGUAUCACAGGUGUGUUACCUGUCCCAGGUGUGUCCCAGGUGUGUCCCAGGUGUGUUACCUGUCCCAGGUGUGUCCCUCACCUGGAAGUCGUUCCGUUUGAUGUUGGGCACAUCCAUGUUGUGGGUGGACGGACAGAUGUCCUCGUACUUCUUGCCCGUGAAGAUGUCGAUG